rnacentral:rRNA from 1 species
GACGAACGCUGGCGGCGUGCUUAACACAUGCAAGUCGAACGGAAAGGCCUUUUCGGCGGUACUCGAGUGGCGAACGGGUGCGUAACACGUGGGUGAUCUGCCCUGCACUCUGGGAUAAGCCUGGGAAACUGGGUCUAAUACCGGAUAGGACCGCACUUUAGUGUGUGUGGUGGGAAGUUUUUUCGGUGUAGGAUGAGCCCGCGGCCUAUCAGCUUGUUGGUGGGGUAAUGGCCUACCAAGGCGGCGACGGGUAGCCGGACUGAGAGGUUGGUCGGCCACAUUGGGACUGAGAUACGGCCCAGACUCCUACGGGAGGCAGCAGUGGGGAAUAUUGCACAAUGGGCGCAAGCCUGAUGCAGCGACGCCGCGUGGGGGAUGACGGCCUUCGGGUUGUAAACUCCUUUCGCCAGGGACGAAGCGUUUUGUGACGGUACCUGGAGAAGAAGCACCGGCUAACUACGUG